AACAUCACAACAAGAAUUUUCUUUUGUAAGUAAUCUGUGUGUCAUUAAUACAUUUUCUGUGAAUUGUUUAAAGGAUUUGACGGACUAAGCACAGAAAGAAAAUCAGGUCUUAUAUUACCCUGUACAUGUUUAAUGGUUAAAGUGGUGGCAAGAUUAUGAAUUAAAACAGAAACAGAGUUUGCACUAUUGAAACUCUUCAUGCAUGAUGUGAGAUGCUUGGAUUUUUGUUCCAUCCCUAGAAUUAAAGAUGAAACUGAGCACAUCAAUCAUGUUUUGUUUGUAUUGUUAAUGUCACAGUGUCUAAAUUUUCACAAUUUCUAGAUAUCUGGUGUGUUGUUUUUUUCAUUCAGAUUCCAGUGAAACUCAUCACCGUGAGACUCAGCCCGACUGUGCUCUUUGCUGGAUGCUCUUCUAUUCUCUCUGUCCAGCUUUUGUUAAGGAACCUCAAGUUGAUGAAAAACCGUACGGCAGAAGAGACCAGACUACAAGAAAUCAGGAUGACGAAGUGUAUGCUGCAUUGGAAAUCCGUCAGGCAUCACAGAGACCAAAGAAGAAGAGGACAGCCCAGAUUUCUGAUUUCAGCACCUACUCAGCUAUCAACACUUGCACCAUGUAAUAAUAAUGAUGUUUUUUCCUCCCACAGAAAUGACAAAGAAAUGUCUGUC